AUAUAAGUAUAAGAAUAGAUUGUAAUUGAAGUAGAAGAAAGAAUUGGUAAUGGAAGAUGUAAGAAAGAUUGAAUAUGGUAUGUAGAAAAUUUAUAAAAGUAAAAAUGAGAUUUUGAGGUUGUAUGUUGGUUGUUGUAAAUCAAAUGAGAGAUAUAGCAAUAGUAGCAAUGAAAAUGAAGAUAAAUGAGGAGUAAGAAUAAAACAUGAUUAUAAGAGCAUUGGUACAAUAUUAUAGGAAAGAUAAGUAAUACAUGCUAUAAGUGUGCCAAAGUAAGUAAGAGGGAAUGAUGUAAAUCAAAAUGAUGUAUUUGUGUCACGGACAUACUCAUGUAAGCUAGUAAUUACAUAUAAAAAUAAGCAAAAGUAAGUAAAAGUAAGUAAAAAUAAGUUAAUUCUAUAGUAUUUAAUAUAAAAGCUUUCUAGAAGCUUCAUAGAUGUUGCUUUGACUUCAUAGGUAUCUUUA
rnacentral:lncRNA from 1 species